rnacentral:rRNA from 1 species
UACGUAGGGUGCAAGCGUUGUCCGGAAUUAUUGGGCGUAAAGAGCUCGUAGGCGGUCUGUCGCGUCGAAUGUGAAAACCCGGGGCUCAACCCCGGGCCUGCAUUCGAUACGGGCAGACUAGAGUUCGGUAGGGGAGUCUGGAAUUCCUUGUGUAGCGGUGAAAUGCGCAGAUAUCAGGAGGAACACCGGUGGCGAAGGCGGGACUCUGGGCCGAUACUGACGCUGAGGAGCGAAAGCGUGGGGAGCAAACAGG